rnacentral:rRNA from 2 species
UACGUAGGGGCCAAGCGUUGUCCGGAAUUAUUGGGCGUAAAGAGCUCGUAGGCGGUUCGGUAAGUCGGGUGUGAAAUCUCCACGCUCAACGUGGAGGGGCCACUCGAUACUGCCGUGACUAGAGUCCAGUAGGGGAGUGUGGAAUUCCCGGUGUAGCGGUGAAAUGCGCAGAGAUCGGGAGGAACACCAGCGGCGAAGGCGGCACUCUGGGCUGGUACUGACGCUGAGGAGCGAAAGCGUGGGGAGCGAACAGG